rnacentral:ncRNA from 1 species
GCAUUAGAGUUUGCACUGAACCCUUGCCAAAGCUUUUUGUACCGACAACGAUGGCUCGGCUGUGGUCCUGCAGUGCUCCAGCAACAAUUUCUGAGGCUGAGGCGGAGCCCCCAUUAAUUAAAACAACGAUUGGUUUUCCUUGAGCUAAAUCUCCAGUACGUGCAUUCCAUCGAUCACCUUGAGCUGGAUCGCGGCCUCUAGUUGAGACUAUCUCUCCCUUCUCAAGAAAGGCGUCAGAAACUUUUAUAGCUUGGUUUAGCAAUCCUCCUGGAUUGUUACGUAA